rnacentral:rRNA from 1 species
UACGGGGGGGGCAAGCGUUGUUCGGAAUUACUGGGCGUAAAGGGCUCGUAGGCGGCCAACUAAGUCGGACGUGAAAUCCCCAGGCUCAACCUGGGAACUGCGUCCGAUACUGGAUGGCUUGAAUCCGGGAGAGGGAUGCAGAAUUCCAGGUGUAGCGGUGAAAUGCGUAGAUAUCUGGAGGAACACCCGUGGCGAAGGCGGCUCCCUGGUCCGAUUCUGACGCUGAGACGCGAAAGCGCGGGGAGCGAACGGG